rnacentral:rRNA from 1 species
GCUCAGGACGAACGCUGGCGGCGUGCUUAACACAUGCAAGUCGAACGGAAAGGCCCUUCGGGGUGCUCGAGUGGCGAACGGGUGAGUAACACGUGGGUGAUCUGCCCUGCACUUCGGGAUAAGCCUGGGAAACUGGGUCUAAUACCGGAUAGGACCGCAUGCUUCAUGGUGUGUGGUGGAAAGCUUUUGCGGUGUGGGAUGGGCCCGCGGCCUAUCAGCUUGUUGGUGGGGUAAUGGCCUACCAAGGCGACGACGGGUAGCCGGCCUGAGAGGGUGUCCGGCCACACUGGGACUGAGAUACGGCCCAGACUCCUACGGGAGGCAGCAGUGGGGAAUAUUGCACAAUGGGCGCAAGCCUGAUGCAGCGACGCCGCGUGGGGGAUGACGGCCUUCGGGUUGUAAACCUCUUUCAGCACAGACGAAGCGCAAGUGACGGUAUGUGCAGAAGAAGCACCGGCCAACUACGUGCCAGCAGCCGCGGUAAUACGUAGGGUGCGAGCGUUGUCCGGAAUUACUGGGCGUAAAGAGCUCGUAGGUGGUUUGUCGCGUUGUUCGUGAAAACUCACAGCUUAACUGUGGGCGUGCGGGCGAUACGGGCAGACUGGAGUACUGCAGGGGAGACUGGAAUUCCUGGUGUAGCGGUGGAAUGCGCAGAUAUCAGGAGGAACACCGGUGGCGAAGGCGGGUCUCUGGGCAGUAACUGACGCUGAGGAGCGAAAGCGUGGGGAGCGAACAGGAUUAGAUACCCUGGUAGUCCACGCCGUAAACGGUGGGUACUAGGUGUGGGUUUCCUUCCUUGGGAUCCGUGCCGUAGCUAACGCA